UGUUACUCAGGGCCAGAUAACUACAUACUUGAAGACAUCUUUAGAGGAUGUACUAAAGGUAAAAAGGGACAUUUUAAGUAAUUAGAGGAAGUAAUGAACCUCAAAUCAGUCUUUCUGUAUGCUACAUAUAUUUUAGUUAAUGCUUCAGUCAGAUGGAAAAUUUGUUUUUUGCUUCUAGAUGUCCUGUGUUGAAGGUUAUUUUUAAAAUUCUAGGUUUUGUUGACUAUCUUCUGAUUGUAGAUGUUUAAUCUUAUCCUUUUCUCUACUUGCUUGCCCUUUUUUCUAACCUAUCUUUUCUUUCCUUUUCUCCUCUCUUCCCUGAUGCCCAUACAUCCCCCAACUAACCAACCUUACAGGUCCAUUCGGAUGAUGAAGUGUUUGAAAGAGGAUUGAAUGCUCUAGUUCAGCUAAGUGUCGUUGUUGGUCCUUGUCUAAACGACCAUCUGAAGCAUCUGCUUACAAGCGGGAGCCUUAGCAUCAUCAAAUCUAAAAUUCCAACAUACUGCUCCAUAUGCUGUUGAAGAAGGGAGCCAACAAAAAUUGUUUUUUCUACCUGUUGACGUGUCAAGCACUGACC
rnacentral:sRNA from 1 species